UCUAUGUGGAAUUGUCUUUAUUACAGAUCUUGUUUGUAGUAGCAAAUACAAAAGAGAGAACCUUUUGGAUUGAAGUAAAGAAAUGGUUUCGUUUGAACAUCAAUUGAAAACGAGUAAGUCGAUCCUAAAUCAGAACUUAAAUAGUUUAUUAAAAGCAAAGAUUAUUGAAAUACACGAUCUUUGAACUGAUGAAAGGGAAUUAGAUUAAUAUUUCUAAACCUGGGUAAAGAAAAUUUCAAUUUUAAAUUGAGAUUUUGGAGAUAUUUUUUAUGGCAACAUUAAAUUCAUCUGCUUUGAUACAACACUUGAGAUAUUAAAAAGAGUUAUCUUUUCUUUUUAAAAGGGUAUUUUAAAUUAAUGCGGUUGGCAAUUGUGAAUUGAAUAUGCUUUUAUGCUGUUUGAUUUGUUUUUGUCGCUAAAACCUAUCGCAUUUGAAACGUGUGCGAGUCUGAAUUCAUUUCGAGAUACAUCGUUCUCUCACCCUUGAAAGAGUGGAACAAUCUAAUUUGUUUUCCAUUUAAUUUAUCUCAAUUGUUCCUUGAAACUCAAAGCGAAAGAAUUAUUUUUCCCCCAGAUCGUACAACAAUCCGCAACAGGUUCUUAAGUUUAAAAGACUCUAAUUUUUAGAAUAAAGUGGGUAAGGAAAAUCGGCAAAAUAGAUCCGUAACUUUGGGAAAAGGAUUGGCUCUAAAGACAAGAAACGCGGAUGAUGGGUGUGAGCUUGAAGAAUUUAUUUUCUUUUUGAGCGCAAACUACAUUCCAGGCGUGUCGAGGUUUCGACUUUGGCACGCCUUAAAAUUGUCAAUUUAGAACUGUUUCGGUCUCGGAGAACCCGACUGUUUAAUUAAAACAAAGCAAAGUGAUGGUCGCAAAUAUUGAUGUUGACACUUUGUGAUUUCUGCCCAGUGCUUUGAAUGUCAAUUUGAAGAAAUUCACCCAAGCGCAGGUCAACGGCGGGAGUAACUAUGACUCUCUUAAGGUAGCCAAAUGCCUCGUCAUUUAAUUGGUGACGCGCAUGAAUGGAUUAACGAGGUUCUCACUGUCCCUACUUACUAUCUAGCGAAGCAGCAGCAAAGGGAACGGACUUUGCAAAGACAGCGGGGAAAGAAGACCCUAUCGAGCUUGACUCUAGGUGUGAUAUUGUGAAAUGAUUUAAAAGGUGUAGAAUAAGGGGGAGAGGCUUGCUUCGAACUUGAAAUACCCCUACUUUUAACAUUGUUUUACUUAAAUAAUGAAUAAAGAAAAAGAUGUGCGUUUGUAUGUUUACAUGCGGCGUCGUCUUUCUUUAAGCAAACACGGCGAGAGUGAUGGUGGCGCAGGUGUGUGAGUGGCAAAGGUGUUGUAAACGAAUUGCAGUUGUUUUUAAUUAAACCUGUAUUCUUUGCGGCAUUCACUUGUACACUCUGCGUUGCCACUCGCCAACUUUUGUUAUUGACAUUAUCAGCUGGGGAGUUUGGCUGGGGCGGCACAUCCGUUAAACAAUAACGCGGGUGUUCUAAGACAAGCUCAGAUAGAACAGAAAUCUAUCGUAGACGAUAAAACGAAAAGCUUGUUUGAUUUUGAUUUUCAGUACUAAUACAAACCGUGAAAGCGUGAUUUUGCGAUCCUUUAUAUUUUCGCUAUAAAUGAAUAAAUGUUUCUAUAGAGGUGUCAGAAAAGUUACCAUAGGGAUAACUGGCUUGUGGCCGCAGAGAGCUCAGAUCGACGUGGCUUUUUGAUUCUUCGAUGUCGGCUCUUCCUAUCCAUCCGAAGCAGAAUUCGGAUAGGGUGUGAUUGUUCACCACUGAAAAGGGAACGUGAGCUGGGUUUAGACCGUCGUGAGACAGGUUAGUUUUACCCUACUGUCGUGGUUGGAUUAUACCAAAAGUGUAUAUGACAAAUGGCUGCGUAACGGAAAUACGAUUCAGUACGAGAGGAACCAUCGUUUCACGCUUCAGGUAUCGGCAUUCGUUGAACAACGAUUGUGCCAAAGCUUCGCGUGCUGGAGUAUUGUUGGACGCCUCUAAACAAGAAACCACUCCAGAAACACAGCCAACUAAAUGUUGCGCUUAUUCAUCUGAGCGCAAUAGAGACUCUAUUUAUUAUUUAUUAUCAAAUAAAAGAGAAAUAAUAAGCAUCGGCUUCAUUGACCGUGCUUAAUUCCAUUUAAUUUAGUUAAUGAUUAAAUGCGUGUGUGCCAACUCGCCUCGCGCAAUCUAAUUAAAAAUUAAAAAUUUCAUUGAAUAUUUAGAGUUCUCGCAAACUAUCUACUAGUUAAAUCUCCUACAUACGAUUGGAAAUUAGUGUCAAAGGCGUGUGCGUUUUAGAGAACUCUAGUUAGUUCGAUUGAUUGAGCGUGCUUU
rnacentral:rRNA from 1 species